rnacentral:lncRNA from 10 species
GUAAGUGAACUGCCAAGCUGGGCCUCCUUCCCUUCUUUUAUUGCAGUUGUUUUAUUUCCAGUAAAUCUUCCCUGACAGCCCUAAGACAUUUGGCAAGUGUGAGUCUAGAAGGCAGGACAAGGGCAUGUAGAUAAAGAAUGACUUGAAGGAAUGGAAUGACAGGCAGCAAUAGACUAUUUCACUUAGCACAUGAAAUCCUUUCCAUUGUUCCUCCUCUGCCUUUCUGGCACUUGUGCUCUCAAGACAACUUGCAAAUUAUGGGAUCAUCUAUUUUCACUUGAAUGCAAAAAGAUUUCCAGUUCAAAAGUUUAUUUCUAAAAAUAAAUAGAGCUCUUCACCAACAUCACACGCAUCAUGAGUUACCAAUGUAUGUUAUCUCAGAAAAAUGACCAGUUCUUCCUAAGUCUUUCAUUUUAUUGAAUAUUUCAUUUAAAAACCACAAAAGAACUCUGGUAACACUAUCACCUACAUUCAAGUCUAACAUCCGAGCUAGAGAAUGAACAAGGUUUAUUCCCUGACAUUUCUCUAGUGAGUUGAACAUUGCUAAGGAAGACUGGGCAUAACCAUUUUAAGUAACAUGAUGUCAGCCCUAGAAAUUAUUAGUCUGAAAUUUACUUGUGUUAUUUUUCUCAUCUGGGCAUAUGCAACAGCAUGGCUAAUUGACAUUAAAUUUUUAUUUUGUUUCAAAUCUUUUAAUUGGAGAGAAUAAUGUAGUUUUCCUUCAGUGGAGGUGGGGGGCGGAAAGCAUUGCUGGAAAGGAUUUCAAGAUCAGUCCUUUUUGUUGUUGUUUUCUGGGGGCAUGGAAAUAAUUGUGAUUUGAAGUUUCUGUUUGAAAAAUAAAAGCGUCCAGGGAGAGAGGCUAGGAAAAAGGCAGGGAAAUAAGUGAUGAAUCUUGAAGUUUAGAAAUGUGGGUCACAUCCCUGAGAAUGUUGUCAUAAGUGACACCCUGGUUUCAAAAGUUUUGGAUCCAGGAACAAGAAGAACCAUGAAGAUGAGGAUUAUGAAAGUGGUGAAGGGAACUGACUCUAACUCUAUGGUCUAGAAAAUAACUCACAGGGACAGCUUGCCCACGGAACAGGAAUAAAUAUUGUCUCAUAUGAACUUUAUAUUAUAACCCAGGUGAGAAAUUACCUUGAAAUCUUGGCAUAGAAGCAGCCUCCUACCAGUUCUUUGUGUCCCUGCAUUCUUAAUUACAUGGCUAUUCUAUGGGAAUAAUUUCUUUUUGAAUGACUGAAGACCCUUGGGUCCAAAGGACACAACUGCACAUCAGUCAUGUUGUCUUUGAUAACGUAAGUCACCGUAUCGCAAGGCCCUUUGGCAAGGAAGUGAGAGCGGCCUCCUCAUAAUAGUCAGCAAGAAACUAAGGCCCUCAGCUCAACAGCCUGCAAGGAAGCAAGCCCAGCCCACAACCCUGUGAGCUUCAAAGUGGAUUCUUCUUCAGUCAGGCUUCCAGAUGACAGCCUAGCCCUUGAUCGCAGUCUGUGACAGACACUGAAGCAAAGCAUCCAACUAAACUGUGUCUGGAUUCUUGUCCCACUGGAGUUAAAAUAAUAAAUUUGCAUUAUUUAAACUGCUACGUUUGUGGUCAUUUGUUACACAGCAAUAAAUAAUACAGCAUGAGGGCAAAUCAAAGCUCUUCCUAGAAAUGUAUGAACAGCAGGAUAGCAAAGCCUGUUUCCCCUUGGGUAAAGAAACCUUGCAUUCUGGCGUCACAAUGUAGGAACAAUGUCUAUUUACAGUAGGAGACAUUAAAUCCUACAUUUAAAAUGUAGAAGAGACAAAUGGACAGAUGAAGUGGAAAAAGAGGAAGGAAAAAGAGGGAGAAAAAAUGUUGGUAGCUGACCCUGACACCAGGAUUCUUCCAGUUUGUUUUUAUAUUAUUGUUAGUUCUCUGACAAAAUUCCUCAGCCAUUGUCUCAGUUUCAUGAGUCAACAAAUGUAUUGCAUUGCUUAAACUAGUUUGAGUUGAGUUUCUACCACUUAAAACCUAAAUUUUUCUACAAAGAGAAAGGGAUGUUAAUGAAGAAAAACAGAAUGGUAUUCCUCCAAAUUGUAUAACUAUCCUCAAAGUUAGUGUAUUUAUGUGAGUUCAGAAAGUCAUGCACAUUACUAUUCCCUUAAGAACAACUUGCUGUCUAAGUAUUAAAAACAUCAUCCUAAUUCUGCCACUUAUGGCUAUGUGACUUGGUUAAGUCAUGUAACUUCUCUAUACUUGUGUUUUCUCUUCAAAGAGUGGAAAUAAUAUUACUGUAACUUGACAAUGUUAUUGUGAGAUAUAAAUUAGUACAUUAUUUUUAUGCAAUAUUACUGUGUCAACACCAGAGAUGAAAUAAAAACUAAAGAAAUGUUAGCUGCUAUCAUUACUAUCCCCUCCAAGAAUGCAAAAAAGGGAUUCUCCCACUAGAGGUAUGAAGUUUAUUGAAGAUUACGGAAUUACUGGUAGAAACUAGUGACUAUUGUAAUGUCUACUGUUCUUACAUCUUUUGUGGUAUUUUGGGGGCAAAUGACAAGAGGUAUUUUCAUUGGACCUCAGGAUUCUUCACUGGACCCGAGGAUUUUCAUUUGUCAGAGGAUAGGAAAUUCAUAAAUAGAAAUUUGCAUGCUUAAUAAGCACCACUUUCUACAUAAAACAUUUCUGAAUGAUUUGAGGACCUUAACAUAAAGCUCCUUUAGGUUGGGGGGUGGCAUCUAAUACAUCAUGAAUACAUAAAGGUAAGUAUUGAAUACCUUAACUCCCCUUAAGUAAGGCAUUCCUCAACUAAUGUUUUGUUCCAUAUGUGUUUAAGUGAAAGAAUUAGGGAACUUAAAAUGGGCCACAGACAUAAAUACAAAAGCUAACUGUAAAAUGUGUGGAAGAAAAUACAGGUGAGAUUUUUGGGGACUGUGGGAUAGACAAAGGUUUCAUAGGCACAAAAAUCAAGAAUGUAUAAAAAUUAUCAAGUGGACUUUGUCAAAAUUAGAAACUUUUCCUUUUUGAAAGCUAUUGUUAGGCAAAUAAGAACACAAGCCACUGACUGGAAGAAAAUAUUUGUAACUCAUUGGAUACAGGAAGACUUGUAUCUAAUAUAUAAAGAACUCUUCAACACUAAAACUGGAACAAGAACAACUCAGAAAACAUUGGCAAAAGGUUUGAGCAGACAUAAGAUACAAAAGGCCUAUGAAUGGUUGAUUAUCAUGUGGAAAGAUGCCAAAAAUCAUUACUAAUUAAGGAAAUGCAAAUUGAAAUCUCAGUGAGAUACCAGUGCAUGUUCACUAGAAAGGCUAAAAUCGAAACCAACCAACAAACAAAAAUAAUGAAUAUUGAUUGUUUGUGAGGAUUUGGAGCCACUGGAACUUUCAGACAUGACAGGUGAAAUACAAAAUCAUACUAUAAUACUUGUUUGGAAAACUGCCCUGAAGUUUCUUAAAAUGUUUAUAUAUCUUACCAUAAGAUCAAGGCAUUCCACUCAAAGAGAAAUGAGGACAGAUGUUGCACAAUGUCUUGAAGACAAAUGUUCUUAAGAGCCUUCUUCACACAAGCCAAAUACUGUAAAUGACUAAAAUGCCCACAAGCAGAUGAACAGAUAAACAGAACAAGAUCUAUCAUACAGUGGAAUGUUAUUCAGCAAAAAAAUAAAAAAAAAUGAGGGGAAAAACAGUGACUAGUGGGAUGUUUGUAAAGAUGUAUUCAUUUGUCAAGUUCACUGAAUUCUGCAUUUCAAUAUCAUGCACACCUUAAUAAAGUUGAUUUGAUGUUUAAAUAAAAAUAGUUUUUCUAUGCAGAUUGUUAAUUGAGUUUUAAUAUUUCUGCAGAAAUAUUGUUAAAUGAAUGGUCUGCUGCAGCUUGCAGACUCUAGGACAGUUAAACCACUACAUAACCCAGCCGGCAUGCAUUUGGGAUAUAUCUGGGUCAAGUGAUUUUCAAACUGUGGGAGAACAACUUUCGUCAUUAAAUUUUUACUCAAUAAAUCAUGCCUGGUGUUGGUUUUGAAUCCUUUUACUUCACCAAUCUUAAAUUCCACUUAAGUAACCAUUUUUGUUCUAAAGCAGACAGCUUGGCAUGUCUAACUUUUUCUUCCAAUUUGACAUCAGGAAACUGUAACCUCUUAUUAUUAGCAAAACUAAUUCAAAAACUCUCUAAAGUGUGGUAUAAAAAUAAUCUCUUUAGUGAUGCAACAAAAAUCCCUCGAGAAUUUAAAAUGCGAUUCAAGCGACAUUAUAGCAAGACCUAUAAACAUUUCUAUGCCUGCAAGAUAGAGGAUCCACUGCAGUAAUAACUUCUACUACUUGCACAGGACUUCACAAUUUAAAAAAGCACUUCUACCUUUUAUCUCUCCUGAUCAUUGUAAUAACAUUUUAUAAGAAUAUUAUUAAAUAUUAAAGUAUUAAAUGUUUUUACCAAGAACUAAAUAUUGAUUAUUGGUGAAGAUUUGGAGCUCCUUCUCAUACAUGGCUGGUAGAACUGCAAAAUUGUACAAUUACUUCUUGGAAAAUUGCUCUGCAGUUUCUUUUAUUUUUCUAGAUGAAAUGAUUUUUAUUGUAGAGAUAGGUGUAUACAUACACCUAAUCAAAUUGUACACUUUACAUAUGUGCAGUUUUUAUAUAUUAAGUAUGCCUCAUUAAACUUGUUUUCAGAUUUUGCAUUAAAUAAACAAAUUCUGCAGUUUCUUAAAAUAUUCAAUGUACCUUACCAUAAGACCAAGUCAUUCUGUUUCUAG